ACCCUUUAAAGAAAGCGUAAUAGCUCACUAGUCGAGUCGGCCUGCGCGGAAGAUGUAACGGGGCUCAAACCAUACACCGAAGCUACGGGUAUCACUUAGGUGAUGCGGUAGAGGAGCGUUCUGUAAGCCUGUGAAGGUGAGUUGAGAAGCUUGCUGGAGGUAUCAGAAGUGCGAAUGCUGACAUGAGUAACGACAAUGGGUGUGAAAAACACCCACGCCGAAAGACCAAGGUUUCCUGCGCAACGUUAAUCGACGCAGGGUUAGUCGGUCCCUAAGGCGAGGCUGAAAAGCGUAGUCGAUGGAAAACAGGUUAAUAUUCCUGUACUUCUGGUUAUUGCGAUGGAGGGACGGAGAAGGCUAGGCCAGCUUGGCGUUGGUUGUCCAAGUUUAAGGUGGUAGGCUGGAAUCUUAGGUAAAUCCGGGAUUCUAAGGCCGAGAGCUGAUGACGAGUGUUCUUUUAGAACACGAAGUGGUUGAU
rnacentral:rRNA from 1 species